rnacentral:lncRNA from 1 species
AGACUUGAAAGAGUCACAGUUAACAGAGUGGAACACAUUCUUGACGUGUUAGGAACUUGAGUCAUAAUUUGUUGUUGACUCAGAACAAGUGUUUGGGGUUAUCGGCCUCAGAG